CUCCUCCACCUCUGGACAACCAAUACCUCACCUUUGGAUCUCCUCAGCUCACCCAGACCCGACAAUCCUUCCCGUGCAAUUACCACUACCAAAAUCUCUCCUGGAUUCCUGCUGCCAGUCCUGCAUCUCGUCGGUUCCCGUCUCUUACUUUCUCCUUAUGUAGUAAAUAAAACCUUUUACUUGCA